UAGAAUCAGAUGUUGGGAAGGAGCAGAAGCCUGAGGUGGAACUUGAAUUGAAGACCAAAUCAGUGGAGAAAGAAAAGCAAAAACACAAGGAGGACAAACAUGAAGAGAAGGAUGACAAGAAAUCGAAGAAAAAGGAGAAAGAGAAGAAGGUUGAUGAUGAAGAUGGAAAGAAGAAAGAGAAAAAGGACAAAGAAAAAGAGGAGAAGAAGAAGAACAAAGAUGAAGAUUUAGAUGAAGGAAAAAAGAAAGACAAGAAAGAGAAUAAGAAAAAAGACAAGGACAAAGAAGAGAAGAUAAAGAGCAGUACCGAGAAGAAAGAUAAGAAACACAAGGACAAAGCGGACGAGGACAGAGAAUGUGAUCGUGAAGAUGACGAGCAAGAAGAGAAAAAGGAAAGGAAGAAGGAUAAGGAGAUGAAAGAGAAGAAGAACAAAGAUGAAGAAGGUGAGGAAGAGGAAGAAAAGAAGAAGAAAAAGAUUAAAGAUGAGGAGAAAGAAGUGAAGAAGAUGAAAGGUAAGGAGAAGAAAGAUAGCAAGAAGCAGGACGAAGAAGAU
rnacentral:lncRNA from 1 species